CCUGCCAUCACCCACCCACAAAGCCCCUCGCCGGGAAGCGAAGGCACCCAUUUCGCGCCAGACUUCCCAACCGCCCCAGGGCGACUGGGGACAAUGACUUUUUUUUUUUUUUGGAUUCCACUAGUUCCAAGCGUUGCUAGUUAACCCUAUCUCAGGACAGGUUUCAAACGACAGAAUUUUUUUCACUUCGGGACCAAAAGCAUAAAUAAGUGUGAGGUUUUUAGGGGACGCUUUUUCCUUGGCGCGUCAGCGACAUGGGACCAGAUGCCAGGAAUCUGCCUCGCUAUGUUCCUGCAGGAGGUUCGAACUUGACCGACUGGGUCAUUAAGUUCCGUCAGCACGCAAGGCGCGCAGUUUUCGUUUCCGACUUGUAGCGACUCUUUGAGUCUCCUGAGCUGCCCUCUGAAGGGGGUCAGGCCUGCUCUGGCUGCAUUAUGUCACGCUGGCCUCCUGGUCGGGAAAUGGAAGUGGGGAAGGCAGAAAACAGUAAAAGACCCUUAUUCCAGGAGUGUCUGAUGUGGCUUCAUGGACUCUGUGGUGUCUCUGUAACGCUGGGAUACAGGUUGGAUCCCUGGCCGGGCACCGUGGGUUAAGGAUCUGAUCCAGAGCCCUGGAACUCCAUCAACCACAGAGCAGCCAAAAAAGAAAAAAAGAAAACCCUUGUCGCACUUGUUUUGCAGAUGAAGCCUGGGUUUCUGUUAUACGAUAGCCCCCACCCUUGCCCUGUAAGCCCGGCAAAGACAUUCCUGAUGGAAGCCUCACUCUGCUCACACCCACGUGUGUCCCAGGGCAGACGGGCACCCCGGGAGUUGCUGUCAUUUCUUGGUUCCAGCUCAGUCAGCACAGCCUUUGGAGAAGACAUGUUUUUAUUCCACCUCUGAAAGGAGAAAGGUAGACCUUCUCUUCUGCUCACGAGUCUCUCAUCAUCUUGCCUCAAGAGGAAUCUGGGUCUAAAUUGCAGCACGGGACGCACAGCUCAAAGUCGGAGACAUUCAGGUACCCAGGCGGGCUGCCUCUUGCCCAUAGAUGGACUGUUCACACAGCUAUUAAUGGCAGCGGCAGCAUUCCUGGGCCCAGGAGCCGGGCCAAUAAGCUUCCUAGCUCAGGCUUUGUGACAAGAAAGUCUGAGGAGCCAGGAAGUGGGAUUUUGUAGGGAAAAGUACUACAGUGCCUCUAGGUCAGAACUCAGCCACCUGGCUUGAAGCAGAUCUUUAUUUAAAUCACUGACGUUUCUAGAGGUAAGGACCAGAGUUCAGUUUUCUGUAUUCCUAACAACAGGGGCAUUUGACUCAUGUUCAGCCUCCCUCUGAAGAAUGAUGAUGUGGAUAUCUACUGAAAUGGAAAGAUGUAAAAAAAAAA